rnacentral:rRNA from 1 species
UACGUAGGGGGCAAGCGUUAAUCGGAAUUACUGGGCGUAAAGCGUGUGCAGGCGGUUUGUUAAGUCUGUUGUGAAAUCCCCGAGCUCAACUUGGGAAUUGCAAUGGAUACUGGCAGGCUGGAGUAUGGUAGAGGAAGGUGGAAUUCCCGGUGUAGCAGUGAAAUGCGUAGAGAUCGGGAGGAACACCAGUGGCGAAGGCGGCCCUCUGGACCAAUACUGACGCUCAUGCACGAAAGCGUGGGGAGCAAACAGG